rnacentral:rRNA from 1 species
UGGGGAAUAUUGCACAAUGGGCGCAAGCCUGAUGCAGCGACGCCGCGUGGGGGAUGACGGCCUUCGGGUUGUAAACCUCUUUCAGCAGGGACGAAGCGAAAGUGACGGUACCUGCAGAAGAAGCACCGGCCAACUACGUGCCAGCAGCCGCGGUAAUACGUAGGGUGCGAGCGUUGUCCGGAAUUACUGGGCGUAAAGAGCUCGUAGGUGGUUUGUCGCGUUGUUCGUGAAAACCGGGGGCUUAACCCUCGGCGUGCGGGCGAUACGGGCAGACUAGAGUACUGCAGGGGAGACUGGAAUUCCUGGUGUAGCGGUGGAAUGCGCAGAUAUCAGGAGGAACACCGGUGGCGAAGGCGGGUCUCUGGGCAGUAACUGACGCUGAGGAGCGAAAGCGUGGGGAGCGAACAGGAUUAGAUACCCUGGUAGUCCACGCCGUAAACGGUGGGUACUAGGUGUGGGGUUUCCUUCCUUGGGAUCCGUGCCGUAGCGUAACGCAUUAAGUACCCCGCCUGGGGAGUACGG